rnacentral:rRNA from 1 species
AGGACGAACGCUGGCGGCGUGCUUAACACAUGCAAGUCGAGCGGUAAGGCCUUUCGGGGUACACGAGCGGCGAACGGGUGAGUAACACGUGGGUGAUCUGCCCUGCACUCUGGGAUAAGCCUGGGAAACUGGGUCUAAUACCGGAUAUGACCUGCUCUCGCAGUGGGGGUGGGUGGAAAGAUUUAU